UUAGAGGAAGUAAAAGUCGUAACAAGGUUUCCGUAGGUGAACCUGCGGAAGGAUCAUUAUCGAGUUUUGAACCGGGUUGUAGCUGGCUUUAAUAUAAUAAUAAUAUUAGGCAUGUGCACGCCUGGCUUCAUCCACUCUUCAACCUCUGUGCACCUAUUGUAGGUUGGUCAAAGCUUGGCUUUUGUUGAAAAGCUAGCUUUAUUAAAAGCCUUCCUAUGUUUUUAUUAUAAGCUCUUCAGUUAUAAGAAUGUAUCUCUAUGUGUAUAAUAACGCAUUUAUAUAUACAACUUUCAGCAACGGAUCUCUUGGCUCUCGCAUCGAUGAAGAACGCAGCGAAAUGCGAUAAGUAAUGUGAAUUGCAGAAUUCAGUGAAUCAUCGAAUCUUUGAACGCACCUUGCGCUCCCUGGUAUUCCGGGGAGUAUGCCUGUUUGAGUGUCAUGAAAUUCUCAAUCUUUAAUAUCUUUGAUAGUAUUAAAGACUUGGAUUUGGAGGCUUUGUGCUGGCUCUUAUUAAGUCGGCUCCUCUGAAAUACAUUAGCGUGAAUAUUAUGGAUCGCUUCGGUGUGAUAAUUAUCUGCGCCGUCGUUGUGAAGUAUAUUUUAUUGUUUGCGCUUCUAAUCUAUAUAUGUCCACUUAAUAUAAAAGGAGGACUAUAUUACUUUGAUUUUUGACCUCAAAUCAGGUAGGACUACCCGCUGAACUUAAGCAUAUCAAUAAGCGGAGGAAAAGAAACUAACAAGGAUUCCCCUAGUAACUGCGAGUGAAGCGGGAAAAGCUCAAAUUUAAAAUCUGACGGUCUUUGACUGUCCGAGUUGUAGUCUGGAGAAGCGUUUUCUGUGCUGGACCGUGUACAAGUCUCUUGGAACAGAGCGUCAUAGAGGGUGAGAAUCCCGUCUUUGACACGGACUACCAGUGCGUUGUGAUGCGCUCUCAAAGAGUCGAGUUGUUUGGGAAUGCAGCUCAAAAUGGGUGGUAAAUUCCAUCUAAAGCUAAAUAUUGGCGAGAGACCGAUAGCGAACAAGUACCGUGAGGGAAAGAUGAAAAGCACUUUGGAAAGAGAGUUAAACAGUACGUGAAAUUGCUGAA
rnacentral:rRNA from 1 species